CCUACGGGCGGCAGCAGUGGGGAAUAUUGGACAAUGGGGGGAACCCUGAUCCAGCCAUGCCGCGUGUGUGAAGAAGGCCCUCGGGUUGUAAAGCACUUUCAGUGAGGAAGAACGCCUGGUGGUUAAUACCCAUCAGGAAAGACAUCACUCACAGAAGAAGCACCGGCUAACUCCGUGCCAGCAGCCGCGGUAAUACGGAGGGUGCGAGCGUUAAUCGGAAUUACUGGGCGUAAAGCGCGCGUAGGUGGCUUGAUAAGCCGGUUGUGAAAGCCCCGGGCUCAACCUGGGAACGGCAUCCGGAACUGUCAAGCUAGAGUGCAGGAGAGGAAGGUAGAAUUCCCGGUGUAGCGGUGAAAUGCGUAGAGAUCGGGAGGAAUACCAGUGGCGAAGGAGGCCUUCUGGACUGACACUGACACUGAGGUGCGAAAGCGUGGGUAGCAAACAGGAUUAGAUACCCGGGUAGUC
rnacentral:rRNA from 1 species